ACGGAAGGCAGCAGUGGGGAAUAUUGCACAAUGGGGGAAACCCUGAUGCAGCGACGCCGCGUGAGUGAAGAAGUAUUUCGGUAUGUAAAGCUCUAUCAGCAAGGAAGAAAAUGACGGUACUUGACUAAGAAGCCCCGGCUAACUACGUGCCAGCAGCCGCGGUAAUACGUAGGGGGCAAGCGUUAUCCGGAUUUACUGGGUGUAAAGGGAGUGUAGACGGUAAUGCAAGUCAGAAGUGAAAGCCCAAGGCUCAACCAUGGGACUGCUUUUGAAACUGUAAUACUAGAGUGCAGGAGAGGUAAGUGGAAUUCCUAGUGUAGCGGUGAAAUGCGUAGAUAUUAGGAGGAACACCAGUGGCGAAGGCGGCUUACUGGACUGUAACUGACGUUGAGGCUCGAAAGCGUGGGGAGCAAACAGGAUUAGAUACCCUGGUA
rnacentral:rRNA from 1 species